GUGGUGGCGGGAUGAGCUGGGGCGGGAGGAAGCAGGAGUUACUGGAGUAUUGUCUCCCCGGGCGAUGCCUGAGCCCAUGCUCCCUGGCGCCCUCAGGGCCAGAGUGAGGGGUGUAGGGGGGGGGGGGAAGGCUGGGAGUAAGGGGGGAUGGGGUUGCUGAAAUGACCCCGCAGGCGGACUCUGCACAUGCACUUGGCUCCCUCUGCACAUCCAGACGAGGCUGUAAGGGAGACACGUGGGAAGAGGCUUGGUCCCUGGUGGAUCCCCCCCCAAGAAAGCCUUUUGGGGCGGCCCAGGCUGGGCAGGAAGGAGUGUGAGGGUGUGAAUGUCUGUCCUAGGGGGAGAAGGACUGCUGCAGGAGGCUUGGUUUUGGAUUUGCUGCAGUUCCUUAAGCCAAAGCAGUGAAGGCGGCAAAGUAAAUUGCUGGUGGCGGUGUGGAAGCCAAAAUGGGAGCUUCUAGAAGUGGUUUCUGCAAAAUAAGACCGCAUGUACGCAAGGAAGCAAGCACGGGGAUCUGAAAAAAACCACAGGUAUGUAAGACAAUUAAGCCACCUAUCUGGUUUUAUAAUUAUUGCAUUCCACUAGCUUGACAUUUUUAUAGACGUUAAUGAAGUGAAGCGCUUUGAGGUGGUCUCACAGGAGAAAACAAGUUUAUUCUACUUCAGACAAUGCAUUUAAGUAAAAAUGCUGCAUCUCA